rnacentral:rRNA from 1 species
UACGGGGGGGGCAAGCGUUGUUCGGAAUUACUGGGCGUAAAGGGCUCGUAGGCGGCCAACUAAGUCAGACGUGAAAUCCCUCGGCUUAACCGGGGAACUGCGUCUGAUACUGGAUGGCUUGAGUUUGGGAGAGGGAUGCGGAAUUCCAGGUGUAGCGGUGAAAUACGUAGAUAUCUGGAGGAAUACCGGUGGCGAAGGCGGCAUCCUGGACCAUAACUGACGCUGAGGCGCGAAAGCUAGGGGAGCAAACGGG